rnacentral:rRNA from 1 species
UUGAACGCUGGCGGCAUGCCUAACACAUGCAAGUCGAACGGAAGUAAGGGGCAACUCUUACUUUAGUGGCGGACGGGUGCGGAAUGCGUAGGAAUCUGCCUUAUAGUGGGGGAUAACUCGGGGAAACUCGGGCUAAUACCGCAUGUACUCUACGGAGUAAAGGGGGCGCAAGCUCUCGCUAUAAGAUGAGCCUACGUCGGAUUAGCUUGUUGGUGAGGUAAAAGCUCACCAAGGCGAUGAUCCGUAACUGGUCUGAGAGGACGACCAGUCACACUGGGACUGAGAUACGGCCCAGACUCCUACGGGAGGCAGCAGUGGGGAAUAUUGGACAAUGGGGGAAACCCUGAUCCAGCAAUGCCGCGUGUGUGAAGAAGGCCUUCGGGUUGUAAAGCACUUUCAGUAGGGAAGAAAGAUACAGGGCUAAUACCUCUGUGUGUUGACGUUACCUACAGAAGAAGCACCGGCUAACUCUGU